AAUAGUGCAACGGGUGGGGUUUGAACCGCCAACCUUUCGGAAUUCAGUCCGCUGCUCAAGCAAGAGCUAUCGAGAUUCUAAGGCAAAGCUCUACUUAUC